rnacentral:rRNA from 1 species
AAUCAACGCUGGCGGCGUGCCUAACACAUGCAAGUCGAACGAGAAAGUGGAGCAAUCCAUGAGUAAAGUGGCGCACGGGUGAGUAACACGUGACUAACCUACCCUUGAGUGGGGGAUAACCUAGGGAAACCUGGGCUAAUACCGCAUAAUACCUACGGGUCAAAGGAGCAAUUCGCUUUAGGAGGGGGUCGCGGCAGAUUAGUUAGUUGGCGGGGUAAGUGGCCCACCAAGACGAUGAUCGUAUCCGGCCUGAGAGGGCGCACGGACACACUGGAACUGAAACACGGUCCAGACUCCUACGGGAGGCAGCA